CAAUAGCGUAUAUUAACGUUGUUGCAGUUAAAAAGCUCGUAGUUGGAUUUCUGGAGGGAGCGUCGGCCCGUAUUUACGAGUGCGUGACGUCUCUGUCCAUCCUUGCGGGAAGGCACGGCAUUGAUUUGUUGUGUCGGAUCGCAUCAUUUACUGUGAAAAAAUUAGAGUGUUCAAAGCAGGCUUUCGCUUGAAUACAUUAGCAUGGAAUAAUAAGAUAGGACUUUGGUGCUAUUUUGUUGGUUGAGCCUAAAGUAAUGAUUAAUAGGGAUAGUUGGGGGCACCUGUAUUGCGUUGUCAGAGGUGAAAUUCUUGGAUUUUCGCAAGACAAACAGCUGCGAAAGCGUCUGCCAAGGAUGUUUUCAUUA
rnacentral:rRNA from 1 species